GAUGAAGAACGUAGCGAAAUGCGAUAAGUAAUGUGAAUUGCAGAAUUCAGUGAAUCAUCGAAUCUUUGAACGCACAUUGCGCCCGCCAGUAUUCUGGCGGGCAUGCCUGUCCGAGCGUCAUUUCAACCAUCAAGCCCCCGGCUUGUGUUGGGGACCUGCGGCUGCCGCAGGCCCUGAAAACCAGUGGCGGGCUCGCUAGUCACUCCGAGCGUAGUAAUACAUCUCGCUCAGGGCGUGCUGCGGGUUCCGGCCGUUAAAAAGCCUUAUUUACCCAAGGUUGACCUCGGAUCAGGUAGGAAGACCCGCUGAACUUAAGCAUAUCAAUAAGCGGAGGA
rnacentral:misc_RNA from 1 species